rnacentral:ncRNA from 2 species
CCGCAACAUCAAGAGUCGGGCCGACGUCCGACACCAACCUGCUCCCCGAGCAAGGUGGUGCCUCCGAUAAAGGGGGGAUGUGGCCGGACCGGCAACGAAACGGGGUCAA